rnacentral:rRNA from 1 species
GAUGAACGCUAGCUACAGGCUUAACACAUGCAAGUCGAGGGACCGGCGCACGGGUGAGUAACACGUAUCCAACCUGCCCUUUACUCGGGGAUAGCCUUUCGAAAGAAAGAUUAAUACCCGAUAUAAAGGAUGGGGAUGCGUUCCAUUAGGUUGUUGGGGAGGUAACGGCUAACCAAGCCUUCGAUGGAUAGGGGUUCUGAGAGGAAGGUCACCGACAUUGGAACUGAGGCACGGUCCAAACGCUGACGGGAGGCAGCAGUGAUGAAGAUUGGUCAAGGGGCGCUAGCCUGAACCAGCCAAGUAGCGUGAAGGAUGAAGGCUUAUGGGUCGUAAACUUCUUGUAUAUAAGAAUAUGUAUUAUAUGAGUAAGGAUCGGCUAACUCCGUGCCAGCAGCCGCGGUAAUUC